CGUUUGACCUCGGAUCAGGUAGGGAUACCCGCUGAACUUAAGCAUAUCAAUAAGCGGAGGAAAAGAAACCAACAGGGAUUGCCCUAGUAACGGCGAGUGAAGCGGCAACAGCUCAAAUUUGAAAUCUGGCUCUUUCAGAGUCCGAGUUGUAAUUUGCAGAGGGCGCUUUGGCUUUGGCAGCGGUCCAAGUUCCUUGGAACAGGACGUCACAGAGGGUGAGAAUCCCGUACGUGGUCGCUAGCUAUUGCCGUGUAAAGCCCCUUCGACGAGUCGAGUUGUUUGGGAAUGCAGCUCUAAAUGGGAGGUAAAUUUCUUCUAAAGCUAAAUAUUGGCCAGAGACCGAUAGCGCACAAGUAGAGUGAUCGAAAGAUGAAAAGCACUUUGGAAAGAGAGUCAAACAGCACGUGAAAUUGUUGAAAGGGAAGCGCUUGCAGCCAGACUUGCUUGCAGUUGCUCAUCCGGGCUUUUGCCCGGUGCACUCUUCUGCAGGCAGGCCAGCAUCAGUUUGGGCGGUGGGAUAAAGGUCUCUGUCACGUACCUUCCUUCGGGUUGGCCUUAUAGGGGAGACGCCAUACCACCAGCCUGGACUGAGGUCCGCGCAUCUGCUAGGAUGCUGGCGUAAUGGCUGUAAGCGGCCCGUCUUGAAACACGGACCAAGGAGUCUAACAUCUAUGCGAGUGUUUGGGUGUCAAGCCCGAGCGCGUAAUGAAAGUGAACGGAGGUGGGAACCCGCAAGGGUGCACCAUCGACCGAUCCUGAAGUUUACGGAAGGAUUUGAGUAAGAGCAUGGCUGUUGGGACCCGAAAGAUGGUGAACUAUGCUUGAAUAGGGUGAAGCCAGAGGAAACUCUGGUGGAGGCUCGCAGCGGUUCUGACGUGCAAAUCGAUCGUCAAAAU
rnacentral:rRNA from 1 species